CUGCCAUAGACCCUCCAGAGGGAGCAACGUCCUGUGGAUACUUGGUUUCUGACUUCCAGCCUCUGUAACUGUCCUACCCUCAGGCCUGUGGUGAGGGGUAAGGAGCAGAGUGUGUCAGCAGCGCCUCCCUGCGUGAGACGGGAGCCCCCAGAGGGUCCGAGCUGAGGUGUGACCGUCCUCAGGAGCUUCUGUUGCAACAGGGUCCCUCUGGCCACUGUGUGAAGAGAAGUGGGGGGACGAGCAGGACCCAGAGGUAGGGAGCCGGGUAAGAGGCCCCUGCACUCAUCCAGACUGCUGGGAUAGGAGACGAAAGGCCCGGACCCCACACUGGGGAGCUUCCAGGUUGAUGACAAACUGAUGAAAAUCCACUUUUCUUCAUGAAGUUCUCGGAUGAACCGGGUUAUUAUAAUUCUAGGGGCCAGCUCUGCAGCCAAUCCUGGGAAGUUAAACCUGAAAAUUGGCUCCGAAGCUCAGCAGCUCCUGGGAGGCAGCAAGUGUUCAGAGACGACUUCUGCUCCCUGAGAAGUAAAUGGAGGGACUGGCAGGGGAAGGAGAGUGUCCCAGGAGCCUUAAAGAAUCUCGCCGAGAACUCAGGUCAAGGCAUCUGUGAACCCCUGGCUCAGGCGCUCUCUGGACAGCAGUUCCCAUAGCAGCCCUGAGUCAUCCGGCUCGGCCCCACCCUGCUGUUCACACCUUCAUUGGCAUCCAUGAGGAGAUGGUCUCUUCUGGAAGCCUCAGAAAUAAAGAAUGUGCUGGGAGGCUCCUUGUCCCACCUCUGCCAACGUCACCUUCUAAGCUCCUCUCUGCUCACGGAGGCCCAGACACUGAAUCAAAGCUCACGGAGCCA